rnacentral:tRNA from 1 species
GGGGAUGUAGUUCAGUGACAGAGCACUUGCCUGCCAGGCACAAGGCCCUGGAUUCAAUCUCCUGCACUCCCC